rnacentral:rRNA from 1 species
AUACGGAGGGUGCAAGCGUUACUCGGAACCACUGGGCGUAAAGCGCGCGCAGGCGGCUUGGUAAGUUGGAUGUGAAAGCCUACGGCUCAACCAUAGAACUGCAUCCAAAACUGUCAAGCUAGAGUGUGGGAGAGGAAGAUGGAAUUAGUUGUGUAGGGGUAAAAUCCGUAGAGAUAACUAGGAAUACCAAAAGCGAAGGCAAUCUUCUGGAACACUACUGACGCUGAGGCGCGAAAGCGUGGGGAGCAAACAGGAUUAGAAACCCUAGUAGUCC